GCCCUGCAUUGGGCUCUGUGCUGACAGCUCGGAGCCUGGAGAUUCUGUGUGUGUGUGUCUCUCUCUGCCCCUCCCCUCCUUGUGCUCUGUCUCUCUCUCUCUCUUUCUCUCUCUCAAAAAUAAAUAAAUAUAUAAACAUUUUUAAAAAUUUUAAUUGAUGGUCAAGAAGAGGAAAGUUUAAGGUUGUCCUUGUAUAAUGAAAUGUUCAUAUGUAUGUACUACACGAUGAAUGGUACUGUAACUAGGAAUCCCAAAUUCUCCGCUAUCCAUGAGAUAAGCAGCUAAGUUAGUACAGGAAUGCUCACUUUAGCAUUACUUAACUUAAAAUUUUCUUUUAAGUACUUUAUGCUGGGAGGUAUUAUAGUUCAAUUACUAAGUGGAUGUAUAUAUUUUAUAUAUAAUGACACAAAAAGGAUUGACCUGUAUGCACCAGGACAUCUCCCCAAUUCAAAAGCAGCAUAAACCCACAACUGUGUAAUUAUCAAACCACAAUAUUAUUGGAUAACUCACAGUGCUUCUGUCACUAAAAUGGUUAUGCAACUGUAGAUAUUUAUGAAAUGUUAAGGUGUUUGUUCCCAGAGACUAUUCAAUUGUUUCCACCAACAUUCUUAUAUUCUUCCCUCACAAUUAGCCAAGACAUUCUUGAGCAGUGAGGUCCAGGCCCACAGAAAGUUUCCACCUUAAAGUAUGAAAAAAAUCUUCAUUCUGAGUACAGAUCACAUCGAACUCCCCUGAAGCAAAAGAAAGGGGAACAUUUUCUUAUUAUGUGGAAUUCAAAGCGGUUAAGCAGAAAACGAAAUCCAGAAGUUGCCCAAGAGCACACAGCUGCUAUGCAGUGGCACAGCCCAGGUCCUUCUGACCACCUCCAGUGGCAACAAAUGACUUCUGCAAAUUACAUCUGCCUGCCCACAGGUCUCUGCCACAGCAUUUCAGUCCCACCCAUUGUUUAGACAACUUGCCUGAACAUGGACAGGAUGCCCAAUCUCUCGCUUGUCAGCCUCCAACCCUGGGACAACUCAAGGGCUUCAUUUCCCUGCCUCUGCCACUCAGAGGAGAGAAGCUCAGACAAUUCUACAGGUUGGUUCCACACUACAACUUUUUAUUUUGAAAUGCUGUCUUCUAAACGUACCAAAUAAAAGACAAAGGCAGUAGGGAAAGAACCAAUUCUAUUUAUUUCCAUAUUUUCACUUAAAUAUAUACAUAAUUAAAAAUUAAAGGAAAACCCCCUAUAAUGCCAUCGCCAAUAAAAUUUUGGUAGAUUUUAUUCAGGCUUUCCUUCCUAUGCACCUUUCAAAUAGUUGUAAUCAUGACACGCAUACAGUUUUUAGCCUGCUUUCUCAGCUAAUUCAUAUAGAUCAUAGAUCUUUUCCUGUGUUGCUACAGAGUUGUCAUAUGUAAUAUUGUUACUAUCUGCAUUAUAUUCCAGCAUUGAUGAAAUGUAGAGCUCGAAUGCUUCCUAUGUCAGUAUUGGGAUCUGUAUCCAGAGUUGUCCGUCAUUCUGCAGAGAUAGCCCCUGCCGACAGUCUACCCACACUGCAUCCCUUGCCCAAGACAGUGGAGUGAAUGGGCAGGCCCCUUCAGCAGCUAUAAUAGAUCAGCACCAAAUACCCACCACCCCCACUGCUGCUCUCUAACAUCACUACCCCACCCCCCACCUCUAAGACAUGGGCAGGCCUUUACCAGUCUCCUCAGGCCUCUUUCCCUCUUUCUGUUCCCUGUUUCCUCCCCAGCAAAAGGCCUCACUUCCCACUUCAAUAAACAUAUCCCUUAGCUCAAAUAUCCUCUCCCCUGUAGAACUGUCCCUAGCCUUCCCCGUUUCUGUACUGGCAGACCAUCAAAGCGCUCCCCCAACCUCUCUCCCUUAACCUCACAACUUAGCUCUUAUGUUCCCACCUUUCCUUCCUGCCCUUAUAUCUCAGAGAAAAGUCUUUCCUAUAUUCCAUUGCUAAUCCUUCUGCAUUGGCCAUUAAUUUCAUCCUCUUUGGACUUUUCCAAGACAGUCUUGCCAUUCAUUAUCCAUCUGCCCCCACUGUCACUGAGGGCAUUUCUUGCCCUCUACUGGCUUAAUCCUCUCAGCCAAAACUUUUCUUCCAGCCAUAAUGCACAUGCUUGUGCACACACAAAAUUACUUUCUAUUGUUGGCUCAGACAAAUUUCUCUUUCCUUUCACUCAUAAACCUCUUAAAAGAGUAGUUUCUCCCUUGCUAUUCUUACUUCCUCAACCCAUUAUAGCUUUCUGUUUCUACAUUUAUUGAGCAUCUCCUAUGUGAAAACAAUGGAGAAAUAGAGAUGAACAAGGCAGUCCCUGCUCCUGAGGAACUUCUAGCUAGUGGGGAAGACAGUAAACCAAACAAAAUAACACAAUAAAAUAAAUGCCAUAGUAGAAAUAUGUGCAGCAGGAUCCAUAGAAGAGCUUCCUGGAGGAAAUUGGAAAGACUUCCUAGGAAGGUGGCUUUUGAGUUAGGCCUUGAACAGUGCAUUCAGUAUUGCCAGGUAGAAACUAUCUAUGUGUACAUUUGGAGAGAGAGUUGGGGAGAGCCUACCACUGACAGAGGGAAUGACUUAUGCAAAGGGCUGAGAAACUAUGAUAUUGACACGUAUUUAGGGCUUCAGCUCAGUUAUUGGAAGAGUUGGUUCCUGGUUCUCUAAGCAGCCCGCUUGGAGAAGAGACGGAGAAAGAUUUGUUCAGGCCAGUAGUUCUCCAACUUUGGUGUGCACCAGAGGGCAUGAAAAUACAAAUUGUGGUGCCCCGCUCCCAGAGUUUUGAGGUGGGGUAUGGGA